GGACUCGGCGGACCCAGAUCCCCCGCAGGGCAGCCCCUGGUGAGUCAGGGCCUGAGUCAGCGCCCUCCGCCUUCCCAGAGGCCCCGCCAGGACCUGCAGCCCUGGGCGCCCCAGCAGCCCGGCCCUGCUCAGCGCAGCUCUGGGUUGGAACUUGCACUUUCCAGUAACUCGGACCUCCCCCCGGCCGCCUUCCCAGGCGCCACCGGGCCCAGCAGAUCGUCACCGUCCAGGCUGGAGUGCAGUGGCGCGAUCUCGGCUCACCGCAACCUCCGUCUCCCCGGUUCAAGCGAUUCUCCUGCCUCAGCCUCCCAAGUAGCUGGGAUUACAGGCGUGUGCCACCACGCCCGGCGAAUGUUGUAUUUUCAGUAGAGACGGGGUUUCAGCAUGUUGGUCAAGCUGGUCUCUAACUCUUGAUCUCAAGUGAACCACCAGCCUCAGCCUCCCAAAGUGCUGGGAUUACAGGCGUGAGCCACCGCGCACGGCUAUCCCUUCCAAUAUUUCCGAGGCCAGCUGCCCAGAGAAGGAGGGCUGGGUGGAGAGGACCGUGCCAGCAGCAGUAGGCCUGGGCCAGGAGACAGGCACGCACCUCCGCGGUCUCUGGCGAGUCUAUGUCCACACAGCGGCAGGACCUCCACCCCCAGCCACCUGCAGCAGCCCCACAUCUCCACCGGGUCACCCUGCUGACAUCAAGAGUGCCUCCCGCAAUGUCCCAACCCAUGAGGGCUUCUUGGAGCUGAACCAGGGCACCGGCCACUUCUGGAGGGGGGCUGCUCGUGACUUCCGACCUCUGUCUCGCUAGUUGGCAUGAGAAGACUGGACUCCUUCUGCAGGCCUCAGGGCAGAGGCAGAUGUCAGCCCCCAGGGAUGUCACUGCCAGAACCCCAGAUGCCCCAAGCCAUCUGGACUCCCCCUGUGCAGUAUCUCUGCUACAAUAAAAUGUACCCAGAUCUGAGUCCUCUCACCUGGGCGACUGCCAAUGUCCCCUGCGGCCCUAUACCCCGCCCCCAGGAGCCCAGAGGAUCUUUCUUUUUAAAGAUAUUCAGACCUCACAGAUAAGUCUGCCCUGACCAGCCCCUCCCCAGUUCCCAGGCCCUAUCCUGACAACGGCCACAACUUCAGAGCAGCUGAAACCUGCUGUGAGUGAAAAAUGAGAAGCUGUUGUUUUAAUUUUACUUUCUCUGAUUACUAAUGAGGUUAUUUCUUCUCUGCAUAAAAACUUCAUUCGUGUUUAA